UGGCACACACACGUACACACAAACACACAUCGUUUUCACAUACAAAUAUAUUUGUAUAAAUUGAAUCAUAUCAGUCAGGUCAAUUUAAGGGGACACACUGGGAGUUGAUAAGACACUAACGGGUACAAGACGGUACAGACAGGUAAACUUCUCGUCGGUUGCCACCUUCCCGUGCUCCGAUGGCUGGGACGGACUGACCUUCUUGAAAUCAUCUUCUCAUGUAAAAGACUAUUAUCGAUCUGUACAUCAUCUACACAAUAAAAUAGAAUGUGGAGGUCACUUAAGACUAAAUGAGGGUUACAAAACAAGACGUUAACAGAAAAUUGUAAGAGGAUAUAUGUUUUCAUAAUUAGUUUUAUUCUAUCGAGAAUAUUUCAAUUCAUUUAAGUAUAAAGUUUCAUGAUAUUAAUGACUGGUCUCGCUGUUUUAUCUUAAAUUGCAUCCAAGAUUUGUUCAAAAUAAUAAAAUUUCAGUGUAUGAAAGCAAAUUAAUAAAAUUAAAAUAAAUUUUUUUCUUGUUCUCUCUCAUGUAUAUAAAGAGCACUAGAAUUGUCUGUGUUAAUAACGACAAGUCAACACUUACGGAGACAUCAAGGUAGUGUGCAAUACUUUCGUCAAUCUAAUCAGUGAAUUGUUCAUCUUAAGUCGUUAUGUCAUCAAUUAUCUGUAAGCUUUUUUAUGUUGUUCCCUUUCAUUAAAUGAGAUAACGAAUCAAAGCUUUCGAUUUUGCACAGAUAUAUUUUUUAUUCUUCUAAAAAUAUACUUAAUUUGUAACCGGAUAAGAACAGUCGUUUUUUAAUAGCUUUAAUAUCAGCUCUAUUGAAUUAUUAGAUUAAACAGUCAGAUAAACGUUUUGCCUCUAAAUCACUCACAGUAUCUGUGACAAAAAUUAAAAAAAACAUAAUUCCAAACUGUUUCUCCAAAAAGUCAAUCUUUUUCUUUGUCUUCGCUUAGACUAAAAUAUCCAGCCCUUCUCCAAAAGAAGACAUUAUCUGUUGUGAUGACCAUGAAACUAAGAACAACUGUAAUAAUCAUCAUGGCUUUGGUGUGGCUGCAAGCAGCAGUUGUUGACGGGUGCACUCCAAACCAUGAUAAGUGUGGCGCAUGGAUACCACCAUGUUGCAGUAAUUCGUUAUGCGUGAGAGUUCCUGAUAAGAGUAAAAGAUGCAAAGACAGAGGGGACAUCUGCCAGACAUUGCCUGGAGGUGUCAAGAAAUGUCUAAGGCGUAGAUGGUAACGCAAAAGGAGAUUAUCAAUCAUGGUCCCGAAUUGAUGAGGACUUCAGAGAGUUUCAGGGUUACAAGCUGUAACGAC